rnacentral:lncRNA from 1 species
AAAAGUAUGUGAUCGAUUUAUUGGCAGAAACAGGGAAGAUUGGGUGUAAACCAGUCUCUACCCCAAUGGAUCCAAACCACAAGUUGGGAGAAGGUAAAGAAGAACCAGUGGUAGAUAAAAGAAUGUACUAGAGGCUGGUUGGUAAGCUCAUAUACCUUGCUCACACUCGGCCAGACAUCGCCUACUCGGUGAGUGUGAUCAAUCAAUUCAUGCAUGAUCCAAGAGAACCUCAUCUUCAAGCUGCUUACAGGGUGCUGCAUUACUUGAAAGGCAACCCCGAAAAAGGAAUUUUGUUCAAGAAGAACAAUACUCUUGCUCUAGAAGCAUACACCGACGCUAACUAUGCAGGUUCCCUAGUGGAUUGAAGAUCAACUACAGGGUAUUGUACUUUUCUUGGAGGUAAUCUGGUAACAUGGAGAAGUAAAAAGCAAAAUGUGGUAGCAAGGUCGUCUGCAGAAUCAGAGUUUAGGGCCAUUGCUCAAGGAUUGUGUGAACUACUUUGGCUGAAGAUUAUUCUAGAUGAUUUGAGAAUCAAGUGGGAUGGUCCUAUGAAGCUCUAUUGUGACAACAAGUCAGCUAUCAAUAUUGCUCAUAACCUUAUACAACACGAUAGGACAAAACAUAUUGAGAUUGAUAGGCAUUUCAUUAAAGAAAAAUUGGAGGAAGGAGUAAUGUAUAUGUCUUAUGUUCCAUCAGAACAUCAAUUAGCUGAUAUCCUAACAAAAGGGCUGAACGGUUUAAUGUUUCACGAUCUUAUAUUCAAGCUGGGAAUGGAAGACAUCUAUUCCUUAGCUUGAGGGGGAGUAUUGAGCUAUAAAUAGAAUAGGAGAAUUAUUUUCCUAUUAUGUUAGUUUCUUAUUUCUGUAAAUAGAUAGUUUUAUUAGUUUCCUACAUCUGUAAAUAGAUAGUUUUAUGAUUUAGGAAUAAAUUAGUUUAGGAAUAAGUUAGUUUCCUAUUAUGUCUCUUGUUUCCUAUUUUUUCUCUUGUACUCUCUUAUAUAAACUGUGUAUAGUCAAUCUAAUGGAUAGAACUUAUUAUUUUUCAUCCCAUAUUUUGUGUCAAAUACUUGUACACACACCGCCGAAACGACAUAAAAAGGAAAAAGAACAACCAAACAAAAGGGGUUAAAAAACAACCUCAACAAGAGUCCAACCAAUCAACAAAACUAACUAAAGUUAGAGGAUAAAAGAUAUCAUAAAUGAGCUCUAUUAAAUAGUUUUUUCAUCACAGCACACCUUUUAUAGCAAAGGUGGUACUAGAAAACUCUUAAAGUCAAUUCAUCCUGAUCAAUGUCAUUGAAAAAGAGAAUUCAUAUAUACAAUGAGUCCCAUAAUAAAUCAUUAAAGAUAAAUGAAGGUGACAAUAUUUUUCUUAAACUGAGUGUCAAUGUGCACCUCAUCGCCAUAUGUUUUCUGCAUGACAGAAUUUCUUGCCAAUGUUUUUUCUGAUAUCAUUCGCUCUCCAAAAUAUGCAAUUAGCUGAAACAAUGUCAAUUAGGUAAUAUUAAGUAUUUUGCGUAAGGCAAACAAAAUAAAUUUACUAAAAAUGUUGUUGAACAAGACCAUCAUAGUUAAAAAUAAAAAUAAAAAUAAAAUAAAAACUAGUACUCAAACUUGAAAUAAUAGUAAGAAAAUAAAACAAGGUUCCAUGCCCUUUAAGGGGGAGGAUUAGCUUUCUAAUUAGUAACAACUAAAAAUUUGACAAAAAUCAAAAAGGAAAAUAAAUAUAAAUUCAUCACAUAAGCAAAAAUAAACUUUUUCCAUUUUCAACUUUGAUUUUUAAUCCUAAAUUUUAAUUAAGCAUAUGCACUUAUUGUGUUAUUAUAUAUAUAUAUAUAUAUAUGCCUUUAUGUGUCAUCUUCAAAUUUCUAACUUUUUAGGUUCAUCAUCAUUUUUUUUUUAUUUUUUUUUUUUUUAUUGGAAACGACACAAAGAUUUAUUGAUAGAAAAAAAGUACAAAAGAAGGAUGAGGAAUCCUCCUGCCAAAGACAGCUAAACUAAAGAAAAAAACACUGAAAAACGCGCAACACUCUAAAAAGACCACUCCUUAUGGAGUACAUACAGCUAUCCAAUCAAGAAGUAACGCAUUAAGGGGAGUCCCCUUAAGAACCUUGGAACAAUAGGCCCAAAGAGAAGUAAGGAAAACAAUAGAGUCCCAUAGAGCCUCUGAAUUCCUUGCUUUAUCCUCAAAAAUCCUCGCAUUCCUUUCCCUCCACACAAUCCGAAUAAUAGCGAUGUUUGCAGCUUGCCACAAGGCUAUCCCCCUCUUAGACGAACCAAAUCCAUUGAAUUUGAUGUACAUCAUGUCAAGGAUGCUUCUCGGGGGAACCCAAUCCAUCUUAGCUAACUGAAAUAACCUGUGCCAUAACCCAAUCGUCAAGGAGCAAUGAAGAAAAAUAUGAUCAGCUGAUUCCCCAUGCUUCAUGCACAGAAUACAAAUAUCCGGACUAAGGGCUUUGUAAGGUCUUCUCACUUGUAGCAUGUCAUUAGUAUUCACCUUCUUGUGUGCCACUAACCAGAUGAAGGACUGCACUUUGAAGGGAAUUUGAGAAUUCCAAACGAAUUUAGAAGGAAAAACCUGAGGAGGACCAAAAAAUUGGGAUAAAGAUAGAAAGAAAGAUUUAACUGAAAAAAGCCCUGAAGAAGACAAGGGCCACGAUCUGGCAUCUGGAACCGAAGGAGAUAAAUGCACUCCAUCAAGAGAGCGCAUGAGGCCUUCUAAGUCCUCAAUCUCAGAAUCUGACAAGUUACGACAGAAAUUUAAAUUCCAAGAGAAAGGGCGAGUAGGACCAAGAACUGAAGAAAUAGGUAUGUUUUUAUCCAAGACUACUCUAAAUAGACUUGGAUAUUGGGAUCCCAAAGGUUGGUCCCCCCACCACAAAUCUUCCCAGAAGCGAAUUCUUUCCCCAUUUCCUACCACAAAUCGAGUAAACGAGGAAAACUCUUGAAAGACUUGAGAAAUAGCCUUCCAAGGACAACGAUGUGACCAUCUGACUAUUGUGUUAGCAUCCCAACCAUUGGAGUGAGAACCAUAGAUGCUUAGUAUGACCUGAUGCCAUAGAGCUGAUCCCUCUCUAGGGUACCUCCACAACCACUUCCCUAAAAGAGCGAGAUUUCUUAAAGAAAUAUUCCCAAAACCCAAACCCCCUAUUUCCUUCGGUUUACACACGACAUCCCACCUGACUAGAUGAUCCUUUUUACCUUCCCCAAUCCCUGACCAUAAAAAAUCCCUCUGCAACCUCUCGAUUUUUACAGCAACUGAAGCGGGUAACUUAAAUAAAGAAAGAUAGUAACAGGGCAUAUGGGUAAGGCAAGAUAGUAGCAUCAUCAUUCCUUUUCCACAAAAGAAGAAAUUAAAAAAAAAAACUAUAAUAUUAAGUAAAAAAAUUUAUUUUGUAAUCACCAUUAUUUUUAUUCUCAACAUUCAAAUGAAAAUUUUCCUAUAUUCAUUAUAAAGAUAAACUUACUUGACUUCUAAUAGAGCAUUUAACAACAAGAAUUCAGUUUUUCAUAUAAGAUUAUUUUACCUAUUUCUUCUUUUUAUGAUCAAUUUUUAAUCUUUUACUAUAUUUUAAAUGAUCAACAUAAUAAAUUCUUUUAACAAACAAAAUAAUAAUAAUUUGAUUUUUUUUUAAAAAUAUAAAAAAUGCUUUAGGAUGUGAGUAUCAUUGUAUCAUAAUAUCAUGUAUUGUAUCGUGUAUCGUAUAUGUAUUGUAAGAUAUGCUUUAAAAUAAGAUACGGAUUGUGAUACGUAUAAAUUUCCAUAACAAUUGUAUUGUAUUGUGUACCAUAAGUUUUUAACAAAUAUGAUUGUGUGAUAAAAACACUCUUAAAAGACCAAACUGGUUAAACCAUCCAAUCAAGAUAAUUGGCAACAAGACAAGUGAAAAGGCGGACCUCCCUACAUAGUGGUUCUAAACCCAGACUCUUUUCUGUGAUUUCUCUUUUGGGCUUAAUUUUGGUAAUUUGGUUCAACCUUCCAUAUGAUGAUCUGCCAUUUGCAAAGGCCUACAACCAAAUGGAAAACAUUAGGCAAGGGGAUCUCACAACCAAUAAUGAAUCCAAAAUUUAAUAGCAAAAAAUAAUUUUAUAUCAAACUUGUGUGACAAAACUAUCUUACCCGUGUGUCACCUCUCCACCCACAUUUUCCUCGAUGACAUGUCCAUACAGCACAAUUCCUAAAGUACUAAAAAAUGUCCAUAAUUAGAUAUGGUUGGAGAACUAUUGAAAAACAAAAGAAAAUUUAAAAUUUCGAAGGAAAAAAAAAAAGUAGCAUACCCAUCUAAAGUGAUGACAAGAGAUAAGCUUUUCUCCAUUGAAUAACCACCUUUACACUAAGGUGCCAAGAACAACAUAUAAAUACAUAUUUUACAUUGAAAAUAAAAAUAAAUAAAUAAAAGAAUCAAAAAAUUAAAUUUACAAAAAAAAAAAAAAAAAAAAAAAAAAAAAAAACACUCUCCAAAAAUGAAUUUGCAAAUAAAAAGCUAAAGGACAAAUGAAUUCACAUGUAUCCAGUUCUAAAUGGAAUCCUCCCAACAUACAAAAGGUUUGUUGCAUCUUGUAAGAAGCAUUCUUUAGAUGUUUGAUCAUUUUUUUCUAUAUAGGUGAUCUAUUUGCUCACUCAUCAUUUUUAGAGGUAAACCUUUUUUUGCAAUGGGCCUCACACUUGGGAACCUGUCACAACCCCAACCCAAACCCUUACCACUUACUUAAGCCAAGCCUCAAGUGCUACUCGCUAAUCUUUGUUUGAAAUUGGAUCCCUUCUUUUUUCUAUCUCUUCUCCCUUCAGUAUGAAUCAAACUGUUGACCCUUAAGACAAAGCAGUAAAGGGGACAACUAUUCAUCCCCUAUUCUCCAACUACAAAGCUCUCUUCUAACUUCAAUGAUUUAUUUUUUUAGUUUUUCAUCUUUCAUCAAACAUACUCAACAUUUUCCAGCAUUGGUGCAAGACCACCAUUUAUUAGCAUUCAUUGCCUCUCUGAAGCACUUUCUCUACCACACCUCUAUCACUCAAUCAAAAAUUUUGUACCUUUAGAUAGUGGCAACUCUUUUUAAACCAAUUGUAUCAUCCUUUUCUUAUUGAGCCAAAUGAGUCGAGGGCAUUAAGUUAUAUAGUAGUUUUCCCUUGGAAAAGGACCAUAAAAAGAUUUUAUCACCUGUUUGACAAUUUAGUCAGUUCUGAAGAUAAACCAUGGAAAUUCUAAUACCAUAUAUAAUUAUCCAGUUAUGUUUCAAUUUGUUGAUAGAUCCAGGUUUGUUCUUGUUUACUAGAUAUAAUUCAAUUAGAGAAUAAUGCAGCAAAUCAAAGCAAGAAUUUGUAAGCCUAUAUGUUAGAUUGAAGUCAUCACUUAUUGUUGUAUAGCGGCAUUAAGUGGUGAAAGUGAACGCCAUGGUGAGUUGUAUUCUAUAACCCACUUUUGGGCGUUCCAAUUCAUUUAUCUAUAACACUCAUUCAACAACAAACAUAGCAGCAAAAAAUAAAUAAAUAAAUAGAAUUUAGAAUCAUAUACCGCGGGACACAGUAAGUUAUCGUACUGCCCAGUUUUAAGCAUUUGUGUGUCAAAGCCUAUCGCCUCCAGUUUCUUCUUCAAGACGUUGAAUCGAGCGGAGAAAUUACUGGUGUCUUCUGGGUUCUCCGAAUAAACUUCAAGAACCAAAGAAAACCAAAAAAUAAUUAGUGUCCAUAAGCAAUUCCAAAAAUACAAAACAAGGCGCGCCCUCACACACAUAUAUAUGAGAAGAGAAGAAGGACCUGGUCUGGGGACAUUGGAAUGGGAAGUGUAAGGUAAGGCGGAGGUUUUGAGGGAGACUGGGAGGAUUCUGGAGGUGGAUUUUAAAGGGAAUGCGGAGAUGGUGACGGGUGAGUAAAGGUUUAACCUAAGAGGCAGCGUGAGAGGAGUGGAUUUGAGGAGUUGUUUGGAGGCCAUGAUGGUGGGUGAAGAGGAGAUAACUACUCUGUGUUGUUGACGAAGAAGCAUUUCUGGGUCUGAGUCCCUGAGUCUGAGAAGGAGUGGCGAAAAGGGCAUCAACAGAGUGUCUUGUUAUUCAGCAGUGCUCCAUGGCCGCUGUCCACUGAACAACUUGGGAACGCUCUCCCUACCCUCUCCUUUUCCCUCUCGCACAUUACGCCUCUUAGCCUUGAAAACUUUUUAAGAAAUAUUCGGGUGAUGACAUAAUCCCCUGAAAAAUAAUAUUUACUUAUUAAAAAUUAUAAUAUAACCUUACAUUAACAUUUUUAUCCCUACAUUAAAAUUUAAAAAAAAAAAAAAAAAACUGUACCGUUAAUUAAUAGCAUAUUUUUUAUACUUAAAUUUAAAUUUAAUUAUUUAAUAAAAAAAUUAUAAAAAAAAAUAAUUUUCAUCUAUUUAUGGUUGUGUUUGAAUAAAUUUUAUUUUAAAACAUUUAUAUUUAUUAAAUGAUUAUAUUAAUAACUAAAUCAUAUACAUUUUCUUGAAAAAAAAUUAAAUUAAAUUUUAUUCAUUAUUUAAAAAAAACAAUAUUCAAAUUAUAAUCAUGUAGAAUCUGUAUCAAAAACGGAAAUAAGUUUAUAAUAAAUUAAUAAAUUAUUUAUUUAUUUUAUUAAUAUUUUAAUUUAUUCAAAAUUGAAAUUUAAUCUUAUAAUAAUUUAAUAAAUUUAUUUUUUAUUUUUUAAAUUUGUUCUUAUUAUUUUUUUCUUUUUUUUCUAAUUAAUAAAUUCAAAUAUGAACUCAAAUAUAGAUUAAAAAUAUUGAAAUUAGAAGGAUUAUCACAUAUUUAAGCACAUGUUCUAAUAAUAACAUUUUGAAUAAAAAAAUUAGACAUUAAAUAAAAAGUAAUGAAUUAUUUUUAUAAAAAUAAUUAAUCAUAAUGAAUAUAAUUAUUCUUAAUUUAAUUUAUUAUUUAUUAUUUAAUAAAUAAAUAUAUUUUAUUAUUUGUUGAAUUUUGAAAACUAAAUUAAUAACCCUAUUCAAGUAAAAUUUCUAACUCUUAUAAAACUCAAACAAAAUAAAAUAUACUAAAUUAGACAUUAAAUAAAAAGUAAUUAAUUAUUUUUAUUAAAAUAAUUAAUCAUAAUGAAUAUAAUUAUUCUUAAUUUAAUUUAUUAUUUAUUAUUUAAUAAAUAAAUAAAUUUUAUUAUUUGUUGAAUUUUGAAAACUAAAUUAAUAACCCUAUUCAAGUAAAAUUUCUAACUCUUAUAAAACUCAAACAGAAAUAAAAUAUACUUUAAUCAUAAUUUUUUUUCCAUGAUGUAUCAAAAGUAGGAGCAUUUAUAAAUAUUGAAAAAAAAAAAAGUAAGCCUUAAUUUUGGAUACCUAUCAUAAUUAGAAAAUAAAUAUAUUUUAAAUUAAAAAGAAACUUGAAUUUUAAACUCAAAUAAUUAUUUAAAUUUUGAAAUCUAUGCAUCCAUAUUUAUAAUUUUAUAUAAAUAGAAAAAUUAUUUAAAGGAAAAGAAAAAGGAGAAAAGAAUUGAAUAGAAUUUUAUAGUUUUGUUAUGAUCUUAAUUAGUUUUUAACUAAUUCUAUUAAAAGAGUAACAUCUUCCAUUUGAAGGAUGGAAUAAAAGUGUAUAUAUUUUGUUCUAAGAAUAUAACAAAUUCUUCAUAUUUUCUUAUUUUUUAAUUUCAUAAACUGAAAUUUUUUCUUUAAAAUAAGAAUAAUACUCAUCUUAAUUUUAUAUAUUUGGUAAAUAUUAAAUUUACAAUAAUUAAUAUUUUUUGUGAUGAAUAUUUUUUUUUAUUUUAACUAAAAAUCAAAAUGGAAAAGAUGAUGUGAUUGAGAUUUCCCUUUUUUUUUAUUUUUAAAUAUAUUAUUUUCAUCCAAAAAAUAUAAUUAUUUUAUUCCCUAUAAUUUCUUUUAUUUUCCACUCUUCAAACAUACUAUAAGAAAAUUCUAAUUUUGGGACAAAAAAUUAUAUUUAUGAAUUUUAUAAUAAUCCACAAUAAUAAUAAAAUAAUUUAAAAAUGAUUAUUUAGGCAUGUUUUUUUAUCUAUAAGUUUAUAUAAAUAAAGAAAUUAUUUACAAAAAAAAAAAGGGAAAAAGAAAAAGAAAAUGAAAGAUAAAUUUUUCAUAAUCUUAUACUCAUAUGGGAGACAAAAUAAGUAUAUAUUAUUUAUUUUAAAAAAUAUCUUAGAAGAGUGUACCUAUAUUUUUUUUCUUUUUAUCACAUAUUUUCUAUCUUUGAUAGUACUAUGUAUUAAAGAAAUACUGAGGGCGAAUGACGAAAUCAUAUCAAUGACAUUAAAACAUGUCUACAUAAUUAAAAUGAAUUUAUACUUAUAUGAUGUUAAGAACUUUCUCUCUUUUUCUGAUGUAGAGUAUCACAAACAUUAUUGACAUAAUGUACUUAUUGUAUUCCAUGAGAUUGCAAGAUCAAACAGAAAAACACCUCGUAUGGGCCCAAACAAACCCCUAUUUGGAAUUGAUACCAUUUGUAACAAUUCACUUCUAACUAUAUAGAUAUUGUAUGUUAUGGGUCAAAAGCGACUAUCACAACUUUAAAAUGCAUCUAGAUAGUUAAUUAAGAAGAGUUCAUACUUAUAUAAUGUUAAAAACUUUUUCCCUUAUUCGAUGUGAAAUGUUUCAAACAUUUUCUAUGCCGAUACAAUAUCUUCGUUAUGUCCCACAAGAUUAAAGAGUCAAAUAGACAAAUACCUCCUAUAGAGUCAAACAAACCUUCACAUAGGAGUCAAGGAUCGAUUCUGAUAUCAUUAUGUGAAGUAUAAUCAUGAUACUCGAUAAGGAUGAGCCGGUCCAUAAAGGUCUCAAACAAGAGCAAUGUUGUGAGACAAAGGGUUAAUCUAAGAGAGUACUAACGACCAAGGUAUAAAAAAUGUGUUUAUGAUGAAGAAAAAAAAAAAAGAUAACUAACACAUGAAAAAAGUUUCUAAAGCAUAAAUAAUUCUACUCAAGUACAAAACUAAAAUAAGAUACAUAUCAUGGUAAAAUUGUUCAUUCUUUGAUUGUUUUUAAUAGGGACUUCUAAAUAAUUUCAUCUUAAAAUUUAUCACCUAAUAUUAUUCACAGUAUUAUAUUUUUUCUUUGGCACCAAAAAAUAACUCAUCUAACCAUUUAUUGGACAGAAAUGAAAUUUGACCCUUUUGAGCUAUCAUAAGACAUUUUAGAUGGAUUAAAUUAAUGUUUUUAUUCUAGUACGACAUAUUGUCAGUUACAAGAAAAUUUUGUUGUUGAAUGAUAUAAGAAUUUGUAUGAAUUCAUUACAUCUGUUUUAUUUUCUUAAACCAACCUUUUACUCUUUGACUCUUUUAUAUUUACAUGAAAACUUCAAGGUUAGAAUAGUAAAUACAAAUGAGUAGUACUUUUCAUAUCUCCUAAAACAUCAAACCAACUAAAGAACGGUUUUAAUUUUAAUUUUUUUGUAUGCCAAACAUAUAGUGAAGAAAUUGAACUUCAAUUUUUUUUUUUUUUUUCAUUUCCAAUUCCAUUAAUUGAAUUAUAAUCCUUCGGUUUUAAUUACAACAUUAAAGUUGAAAAUUUUGUGUUAAACAAGUUAUGUAUAAUAUUUGGAUGAUGUUACAAGUAUUACUAAUUUUACAAUUUUUACCAUCUACUCUCAUGGCAAGUUACAAUGGGAUAUAAUAAAAAUUGGUCUCAUUCAUUAAAUAUAAAUGUUUAUGAACAUCCAAUCACUUAAUACAACCUAGUAAGAUGGUAAAAACGAUAGCAUGAUUCUUUUGGAUAAACCAAAGAGAUUAAGGAGUUGAAUGAUGAAAAAGUAUAUUUCAUUUCUCUAUACUCAUCUCUCUCUCUCUCUCUCUCUCUCUCUCUCUCUCUCUCUCUCUCUAUAUAUAUAUAUAUAUAUAUAUAUAUAAUUGUGAGUGGAAUUGAUUCCCUUUUAAUAUGCCUUCACAAGAUGAUGCUUUUAUUAGAAAUACCAAUUUUGGACCAAAGUAUAGCAAAACAAGACUUUGACAAUGAUUUGAUAAAUACAUCGGCAAGUUGAUGAUAGGCGGAUACAUGAGCAACUUGAAGUGAUCCUGUAGAGAUUUUUUCCUAAACAAAAUGAUAAUCAAGGGUGACUUACUUCAUUUUUCUUUAAUGGAAGUUACAAUUUAGUAAACAAAUCUUGAUCAUCAUCAACAUCAUAUCACGACAUGUAAAACAAUCAUCUUCUAUCAUUUCCUGGUAACAUCAUAUGACCUCGUAGGCUUUCAUAUAUAGCACUAAUUGUGACACCAUUGCUAUUGCCAUCGCCAUCAUCGUAUGUGUGGGUAAAAUCACUAAAUAAGUGUUCAUUCUCUUGUGAAUCAAUCCAUGGAUGUGUUUUCAUGAUUCUCAAUCCUUCUAAUUCCAUUACUACUUCCUUCAUAGUAGGUCUUUCAUCUCCUUUCAAUCUUAAGCACCUUUUUGCAAGCUUAGCAGCCUCCUUCAGCUGCUCAAUGUUUUCUUCAUUCACUAUAUGUUCAUCAAGAACUUGAAAAAGGCGAUCAUCUCUUAAUGAAAAAAGAAAAUACAUAGCUAGACUUCUCUUGUCCUCCGGUCUAUCAAAAGAAAGUGCCUUCUCUCCCGUUAAUAGUUCCACAAGAACAACUCCAAAACUAUAAACAUCGCUUUUCUCAGUCAAUUGGCUUGUAAGCAAGUACUCAGGAUCCAAGUAUCCAAGAGUUCCUUGUACCAUUGUAGAUAAUUGAGUUUGAUCUAGAGGAACUAACCUUGAAGCUCCAAAAUCUGAAACCUUUGCUGUAUAGUUAUCAUCCAAGAGUAUGUUAGUGGAUUUAACAUCUCUAUGGAUGAUAGGUAUUGAUGCUGCAGAAUGUAAAUAUGAUAAGACUCCUGCAGUUUCAGUAGCAAUCCUCAAGCGAAUUUCCCAGGGAAUGAUAGAUGUGUUGCUCUUAUUAUGUAUGUGGUCGAAAAGAGUGCCAUUAGUAAUGAAUUCAUAAACUAACAAAGGAACUUUUGUCUCUAGACAACAACCCAAAAGCUUGACCACAUUUCGAUGAUUGAUCUGUGACAACACAAGCACCUCAUUUAUGAAUUGCUCAAUUUGACUUUUAUCCACCAUCUUCGACUUCUUGAUGGCAACUAUUCUCCCAUCAGUUAAAGUUCCUUUAUAGACAGUUCCGUAUCCUCCAUGACCAAUAAUUUUACUCUCAUUAUACUUGUUAGUUGCCUUCUCUAACUCUGCACCAGUAAAGAUUUUGAUUGUUUCAGUAGAUCCUUCUCGUUUAGAAAGUUGCUUUUGUAACAUUAGACCACCAUUUUGUUGAAAGAACUCCUCUUUGAGUUUAAUAAACUUCCUUUUCUUGAGUCCCCAGUAUAACCAAGAGCUGCCAAUUAGUAAUGAUAUAAGACCGAUGCCCACGCCUACAUUUGAACAAAUCAAAACCAGAAGAUGAAAUAUAUCAUAAUUAAAUUUUCUUGCUUAAUUAAUAAUUUUAAUUUGAUAAUAUUAACUCAUCAAGGAGCUUAAAAAUGAAAACUUAAUGAUGAGAUACAAAUUCCAAAAAACAAAUUCAAAGAAUUUAGUUGUAAAUUUUGCAUUGAAAAUUAAUUUUAGGUGAACAUUUGAAAAUUUCCAAGUCGUAGAAUCCAAGAUGCAGCUUCCACUAGCUCCUCUAUCUGGUUUUUGACAACGAGGAAGAGAGGAGAAAGUUUUUGAUCUUACAAAAACUAAUCCAGUCCAUAUAGCUAUAAGAUUUUUCAGAUGUUCGUUUCAGUUUCUCCUUAUUGAACAAGAAUGCAAAACCAAAUGGACCAGAAAUAUGUCACCUUUUUAGCAGGAUACUGAGUGCAAAGAAGAAAAUCAUACCAAGGGAAACCUGAAUCAAUUGCAAUUCAUUUGGAUUACAGCCAUCACCAUCGUCUCUGCCAUCCCCAUGGUACCCCUUGCUGCAAGAACAAGUAUAAUUCCCUGGGGUGUUCUUGCACCUUGCUUUUUUUACACACUUGUUGAGGCUUGAAUUCUUACAUUCAUCAAUAUCUUCAGAGCGAAAGAAGAACGAACCAAUUAAGGAAUCAAUUUACUUUCAAUAUAUACUAUAAUCAAAUAUAGCAGCAAAAUAGAUAAGUACCUUGGCAACCAUCCAGGUAAGGAUUCCCAUGAUAACCAUCAAAGCACUUGCAAAGAUAGCCGGGCCGGCUAUUGGAUUCAUAGCACGUGCUAUUCUCCUUACAGGCGUAACUCGUCUGGUUGGUUUUAGCCACCUGGCAUGUUUCAUUGCCAAUUGACCAAUCAACUACCAUAGGAAGCUUUUCUAUAUCCUGUAAGUUGGAAAGAUUUUUGGAGGAGAAAUUGAAGGCUGCUUCUUCGACAAUAAAGGCAUAGCUGCAGGGAUUGAAGUCAUGAACUUCUGUAUGAUUGAAGUAGCUGCUUAAUAUCAAUGUAGUAUUUUUUAAUCCUUCUGGGAAUGAGAUCUGGCAACAACCAGCCCCUGAGCAAGAUCCAUCUUGGACUUGUUUCUUGCUGGAACAUAUAGACAUGCAGCCAGUUCUGUAAAGAUCUUCUCCUUGGUAGCCGCUGAGAAGUGCGUAAGUGUCGCAACCAACCGCAACGAACUUGUUUAGAGUGCCAGAGAUACUGAAUAUGGACAACCGAAAAUAGGGUUCUAAGUUGUCUUGCAGGGUGCCGUUUCUGUUAUAACAAUUGUGGGCUAUAAGACUCAAGAGAUGCAACUCACCAUCCAAACUUAUGUUGGUGACAUUGAUAUUACCCUCCGUCAAAAAGGCUUUGGGAAGGCUUGUACUGUUGUCGCAGGUUAUGAGGAAUUCUUCAUUGAGAUAACAGUCUUCCCUUGUGCCAAAUGGAUAUGGGAUGCUAACGUCGCCACAGCUAUCUGGGCAACCAGGCUUGGCCUGACCAGCUGCCGGCGCUGCCAUUGCUGCUAAUACCAUCCAUAUAACCGCCAGUAGCAGUAGCGGUCCUUGUGAGUUCAUGUCUGCUUCCUGCUUCUUUGUGUUCUAAUAUGAGAUUCUUUUUUGUGAAGGCAACUUCUUACAGAUGCUGGGCCUUUUUAUUGAGGCAAAUUUGGAAGGGGUUGGCUAGUUCAAUGCAAUGGGAUAUACAGACAACACCCGGCAAGCUCCUCAGCGAUUAUUUCCUAGCCCUUCAAACGGUAUGUGAAUUAACUAAUCCAGUAUACUGGUGUGCAUAUAUAUUUUGUUUAUAAAAAUCAUGUUUAUCAUAAAUGAUCCGUUGUAAACUAGGUUUAUUCAAAUAGGUAUGUCAAAUAAUGAGCAAAAAUUAAGAUUUCUAGCAAUUUUCAUUAUUAAUACUUUUAAAAAAAAUAUUAAUAUAAGGUUUUAUCAUCAUUUUUAAUCAUAACGAUUCAUUUAUCAUGUGGUGUCACAUAUGAAUGCCAUUCCCAUGGAAACUGCUCAAGCAACAAACAAAUAUAACUCCCUUGUGUAUUAUUAGUACAUACUUUUUUUCACAAGGACGUGAUAAUCAGACUUGAACCCUUUCAUUCACCAGAUUUUGGAAAAUCAGAAGGAAAAAAAAAAAAAAACAGAGAAAAGAGCCAGCUAUGAAUCAAUGUUUAAGUAAAAUAUAAUAAACAAUUCAAUAUCACAGGAAUUAAUUUUUCUCUACUGGAUAAAUAGCUCAGAUAUCUGCAGGGACAAACUUACCAAAUGCCAGCUCUGUGAUGACCAUAGCUCCCCAAUGCCAAAAGCAAGUUCUUUUAGAUCUUGUGGAGUGGAGGUUUCUGCCAAUGCCCGACAAAAGCCGGAGCAAACACUCAUUUUGGAGUCUUCUUCAUGUAGGCACAUGUACAUGUACAUGCAUGCAGUCGCAUAACUUUAUCCAUAUCCACCCAAAGACAUCAAUUGUUUAACGCCGGAGCAAAAUACUUAUUUUGGACUUUCCUCCAUGAGGGCAUGUAUGGAAGUAUGCACACAGUCGCAUAUUUAGCUUUCUCCACCCAAAGACAUUGUUUACAGCCGGCGUGUACUUUAUUUUCCUUCUUGUCUCGUGGGCAAAUGAAAUUAGAGACUUUUUUUUUUUUUUUUAAUUUUUUAAAAAUUUUCUAGCACAUUUUAAGAUUGUUAAUUGAGUCAUAAUUAUUUAAGUGGAUGAUUUUUUUUUUUUUUUUUAAAGUUUGUUAAUGACCAAAAGUUAUGUACCAUUAUGCCUACCUUUUUAAUGAUUAAAAGUUAUGGCAUGUGCCCACUGCCCACUGCUUUUUUAUAGACUUGUGUUGCAUUGAGUUCAUCAGCCAUACUUUCUAGUUUGUUUGAAAUGUUGAACUUGGUUAUGUACUUUCCUAAGGAUAGAAACAACAUUGCUUCACGUUUUCUAAUCAUAAUAUAGGAAAGACUAGUAGAUGUUUUGUCUUUUUUUUUUUCCAGGUAAAUCAACUGUGCCCGUUUAAUCGAGAAUACAUCUAGAAGUACUCCUUCCGUGUUGUUUACAAAGACUGCAUGCUAAUAGAUGCCCCAACAAAGCCAAAAUCCCUUUCUUUGAUGAUUUGGUAAACAUUUUUCUUUUCUCAAUCCACUGGUUUGUAAAGACUCAAGUCCAAGUAUCCCACCCAAGUUCAUUGCGCCAUCAUAGAUUAUUGAGUUCAAAUUAGUUGAACUUGAAGCUCCAUAAUCUGACAUUCUUACAGUAUGAUUACUAUCUAAAAAAUGUUAUUAGAGUAGCAUCCUUGUAAAUUAUUAACUGAGAAGCUGCAAAAUAUAACUGUAACAAUGCUCCAUGACAAGCUUGUAACAAGAUGACUAAACACUUCAUUUUCUUUAUGUAUGUGGUCAAAUAAAACUCCCUUAGUGACAAAUUUAUAAACUGGUAAACGGACUUUAGUCUCCAAGCAACAGUCUAAUUAGAGCAAUUGACCACACAUGGGACUUCACUUUAAAUUCCCUUAUAAAGUUAUUUCGUGUUCUUGUGGAUCGAUGAUUUUGUUUUCAUUAUGGUUAUUAGUGGCCUUCUCAAGCUCUAACGCAUUAAAAAUUUUGCCUGUUUCAUCUUAUCCUUUUACUUGGAAAGUGAUCAUGGUAUUAAAUCCAAUAUUUAAUUUUAAAAUUGGUGCAGGCUGGAUGGCUCAACCUGUUGAAUCAUGGAUCAGAGCCCUUUUUCGAUCUAAUUGGAUUUUUCUGACCGUUUUUAAGUUGAACCAACAAGUGAUUCCACCGGUUGGACCUGCCAACCGUGUGGAUUGGUUGGGUCAAGACUGUUUUUUCAAAAUCUCCUUAGGGCCCACUUAGUAUUUGGGCUGUCCCCACUAGUGGGCUUGUUUCUGGGGAAGUAAUGGGUCUUUGUUUUCUUCUUUCAUGUUAGGUAGGGCUUGGGAGUGGGCCUGGGAAGUAAUGGGCAUGGGGGCGUCUUUAGACUCUACCAAUGGACUUGGCUGGGGGUUUAUGUAAUUGUAAGAGAAACAACUACUUCACGUAUAUAUAUAUAAAUAGAAAGUAUUGUUGAACAAAGGCUCUCUUCCAGAACGUGUAGCAUAAUGCUUAUGAACCAAAACUGAAUUUCUUCAUUCCAAUUAAAACUUAAGACGAAGGUGCUUGAAAGUUGAAAAUUGGUGAGUUUCUAAAUUGUUUCCGGACUUGGUAAAUGAAUUUGGAUUCCACAACAUUGAUAUACAUAUAAACAAUAUAAACAAGGUGAAAUUGUAAUUUGGAAUAAUCCGGUUAAAAGUAUAUUCGUUUAUAUUUGAAAUAUUUUUAUUAGAUAUGUUUUUUUUAAAAGUGGUUUUGAUUGAAUCAAUUACUUUUCAAGUGUUUUUUUAUAACAUUAUAAGAGUCCAUUUGAUAGUGAUUUUAAGAAAUAUUUCUAAUAUUUCUAAUUCUUCAAAAAUAAAAAUUUUCAAGUGUUACAAAGAUGAAAAACACUUUUCAGAGUCACUAUCAAACGUUAGAAAGAUUAAAUGUUAGAGUGUGUUCGAGAGUAAUUCUAGGAAAUAUUUUUGGUAUUUCUAACACUUGAAAUUUUUUCUUUUUCAAGUAUUAGAAAUGCUAAAAAUGUUUCUCAAAAUCAUUGUCAAAUAUGCUUUAAAUGUUUUUCCAAAAAAAAUAUUAGUGAUUUUUUAACCAUUACAAAUUUUCAAAAUUUUAAAAGUAUUUGUUAAAUUUCACUUAAUAUCUAACUUUUUUCUUUUAAAGAAUGGGUUAAAAGUAUUAUUCUAAAAUACAAUCAAAUAUAUUUUAUGACUUUAUUUGAAAAGUGUUUUUUAAAAUAGUUUUGAGAAAUAAUUUUUUAAAAUUAUUCUUUAAUAUUUUGUAAAAUAAAAAUCUAUUUGAGAAUUUGAUUAUAUUUUUAAAUAUGUUUUAAAAAUAAUUUUUAUAUAUAGUGUUUUAUUUUUAAUCAUUCUUAAUAAUUAGUUUUUAAAAUAAUACUUACAACACAAACCAAAACAAUUGGGAAAAUGUUUUAUGAAAACAACUAAUUUUUCAUUUUUCAAUUUUUUUUUUCUUUUCAGAUUAUUGUAUAUAUUUUCCUCUUCUUCUUCUUUUCUUGGAGAAAGCAAAAUAUCAUUGGGGAAAACAAUUAUCAAACAAGGGAUACUCUCAUUCCGUGUGUAAAUUAUAAUUUCUAUAAUAAUCUUAAAAAGAAUAUUCUAAUAAGUGGUCGCAACUACAAUUUCUAUAAUAAUCUUAAAAAGAAUAUUCUAAUAAGUGGUUGCAACGUCUAUUCGGAAACAAGUGUCUUGUUCUUCUCUCAACUAGUGGCACAAUCAAAUGGACCAAUUUGAAAGAACAUAUAGUGAUGACCAAUUCAACAUUUCCAACCUACCCUACGCUAAGUCGCCCCUCGUGAGUUCAUCUAACUAAAUUUGAUGGUAGUUGCCGGCAUUACACUUUUCACCGUCAGUACUCUAAGUAUUUUUUCAAAAAAAUAUAAAUAAUUUUUCAAUAAUUACAAAUUUUCAAAAUUUUAAAGUGUUUAUUAAAUUUGACUUAACAUCUAGUUUUUUUCUUUUUAAAAACAGGCUAAAAAUAUUAGAGUGAUUUUAUAAAAUAUUUAUAAUAUUUUUAACACUUAAAUGAUAAAUUUUUUUAAAUAUUAAAAAUAUUAAAAGCGUUUCUUAAAAUCACUACCAAAUGAGUUCUUAUUAUAAAAUACAAUCAAAUGGAUUUUAAGAUUUUAUUUA